CACCGUCACCUCAGGUAAUCCAUGUGAACCUUAACUGCCUUUGAACUUCAUGCCCCUACCAAAGAAAAAGAGUAUAAGGAUGCUGUUAACGUAGCUAUGCAGCUGAUUUGAAGAUACUUCAGUUUCAUUCCCAAGAAUGGCCUCCAGCAAGGCAUCGUGGAUGAAAAUAUACUGCUCCUAAAGUUGUGUACCCUCUAUACUCGCCCCACCCAGCCAGAUGGAAAUCUUCAGGACAAGGACUCUAAUUUAUCCUGGAAGCUCUGCCUAGAAAACGGACUGCUCAGUAAUUGACAGGUGA